CCGCCUGAUAUUUUGACUCAUGCCU
rnacentral:miRNA from 1 species